rnacentral:rRNA from 1 species
GAUUUGUCUGGUUGAUUCCGAUAACGAACGAGACUCUGGCCUGCUAAAUAGGAGGCUGAUCAUCUCAGUCAGCCGACACUUCUUAGAGGGACAGGCGGUCUUUAUCCGCACGAGAUUGAGCAAUAACAGGUCUGUGAUGCCCUUAGAUGUCCGGGGCCGCACGCGCGCUACACUGAAGGAAUCAGCGUGUGCUUGCCCCUGUCCGACAGGACUGGGUAACCCGCUGAACCUCCUUCGUGAUGGGGAUAGGGGCUUGUAAUUGUUCCCCUUGAACGAGGAAUUCCCAGUAAGCGCGAGUCAUAAGCUCGCGUUGAUUACGUCCCUGCCCUUUGUACACACCGCCCGUCGCUACUACCGAUUGAAUGAUUUAGUGAGGUCUUCGGACCUGCAGCCGUCGCGGCCUCGUGCCUGCAACGGUUCGCGGGGAAGAUGACCAAACUUGAUCAUUUAGAGGAAGUAAAAGUCGUAACAAGGUUUCCGUAGGU